GGGUCAGUAGGUUGGUCGUGCCACCGGUACGUACUGGUCUCACUGAUUCCUCCCUCCUGAAGAACCGUAAUGCCAUUAAUUUGGUGUUGCGGGGAAACAGGACUGUUACUUUGAAAAAAUUAGAGUGUUUAAAGCAAGCUAACGCUUGAAUACAUUAGCAUGGAACAAUGAAAUAGGACGAUCGAUCCUAUUUUGUUGGUUUCUAGGAUUGACGUA
rnacentral:rRNA from 1 species